ensembl:lncRNA
CAAAAGCGCAGCUGCACCUACAAAGAGAGGGAGGGUGGGGCCCAGAGCCUGGGGACGGGGCACUCCGAGGCGAGACCACCUCGGCCCAGCCCAGGCCCUGUCGCCGCCCCACAGCCCCGAGGGAGAGACUCAACUCCACCGUGGCGGGGUACCAGACGCUCAGAACAGCUGGCCACCUGUCGGGGGUCACCCACCCGAGAAGGGCUAACAGUGCCGCCGACCCCAGACCCUCCUCUCAGACACAACGUUCAGGGCUGGACUCACCUGGCUGGUCCGCAGGUCCCCUCGGAAAGGUAGCACUGGUGGAACGCCAGCUCUGAAGCUCCCAACAAGCCACCACCCUGCUCGGUGCCUCAGUUUCUCCCGGGUACCCGGGGCGGAGUCAGCAAACGCUGCGCACGCACGCGUGGGCACGUACACGUGGGCCCGGACGCACCGCCUCUGCUAUUUGACGGACAUGAAGGAACCCAGCGCCACGCGCAUGCGUAAGGCAUCCUCCGGGGUCGGGGGCGGGUUGCCCAGUAUCUGUGCGUGACAGCCAGAGGUCCCCCCGCCCCCCAUUUUAUUAUCCAGCCCUGUCCCUCUGUCCUUACUGAACCUCAAGGCCUCCGGACCUCAAGGCUUGAUGAGAGGCAGGGGCCCUGCUCCUCUGGACCCGCACGUGCCCACCCAGCGCUGACCCCACGUGAUAGAGGAGAGACCGAGAGGUUGAGUGAGGAGCCUCAGAAAAGGCUCGUAAAUGCUAUAAUCAGCGUUAUUUGCUGCAGGUUUGCGUUUGCAGGACCCUCGGCCCCUGGCGGAGCCGGGAGAAGGAGAGGUGGGCGUGCGGAGGAACCGGUCGCAUUACUUGGUAGCUGAGUGGAUCCAUAUCAAGGGGCCUGAGUGGACAGUGAGGACCACAGUGUAGGGACCGGGUCCCCCUUCCCAUGCUCUACGCGACUGCUGUCCCCUGAGUGCUGAGCAGAGGAGAAGCUGUAAACCAAGAGGCCCAGCCCGCAGUGGAAGAUGAAGUGCUGAUGAAUGAGAGCAGGAAGCUCUCUCCUUCCUGACCGCCGCCCCCCGCCCACGCCCAUCCUCUCCAGCCGGCUCCUCCAAAGACCGGAAGUUGAGGUGGGAAUCCAACCCCGCAGAUGAGGAGAAACUGCUCCAAAGGGAAAAAAAAAAGAAAAAAAAACAAACACCAGAACCCUUACACACAUUAAUUCCAUUGUUUCCACUCCCAGAUCCUGCCUGAAAAACAAAAAUAAAAUCAAAAUCAAACCCCAGCUGGGAGGCUUUCUCUGGUAAAGCCUUCAAGUUAGGGGGUUGAGUGAAGGAGGCACCACCCCCGUCCCCUGCAAACAGAGACCCCUGUGCCCCUUGGACCUGCGCCUCCACCAGCCCCUCAGUGGGGUGAGCACCGUGGGGGCCGGUUGCCUUCCCUGGCCAGUUCACUCAGACCCUUUCACACUAUAAAACUGAGGGGCUGGGCACACAGCGGAUCCAGAUUGGAACCUGGAUCUUUGUGACCCCCAGAACGCACUAGCUUGCCUCCAGUCCAGGGCACUGGGAGCAGGUAAGGAAGAGUAAGUGUUGGCAGGGGUUGCCUCCUGCGCAUCCGGCUGGCUCUGCUCAUACGUCCAGCGACGGGGAGCUCGCUCCUCACAUUCAGCCAUCUUCGCCUAUUUGCGUUGUCAAGAGCUGUCUGUCCACUCCUGCCGCACCCGGGCCUGGCUCCUAAUCUCUGAUAGCGACACACCGGGGAGGGUCUGUCGGGACCAGGACUGGAACAGCAGCCUGGUGGGACACUUUUCGGAAAUA